rnacentral:rRNA from 1 species
UACGAAGGGUGCAAACGUUGCUCGGAAUCAUUGGGCGUAAAGCGCACGUAGGCGGCCUGUUAAGUCGGAUGUGAAAUCCCUCGGCUCAACCGAGGACGUGCAUUCGAAACUGGCAGGCUCGAGUAUGGAAGAGGGUCGCGGAAUUCCCGGUGUAGAGGUGAAAUUCGUAGAUAUCGGGAGGAACACCAGUGGCGAAGGCGGCGACCUGGGCCAAUACUGACGCUGAGGUGCGAAAGCGUGGGGAGCAAAC